GACGAACGCUGGCGGCGUGCUUAACACAUGCAAGUCGAACGGAAAGGCCCUGCUUUUGUGGGGUGCUCGAGUGGCGAACGGGUGAGUAACACGUGAGUAACCUGCCCUUGACUUUGGGAUAACUUCAGGAAACUGGGGCUAAUACCGGAUAGGAGCUCCUGCUGCAUGGUGGGGGUUGGAAAGUUUCGGCGGUUGGGGAUGGACUCGCGGCUUAUCAGCUUGUUGGUGGGGUAGUGGCUUACCAAGGCUUUGACGGGUAGCCGGCCUGAGAGGGUGACCGGGGAAAGGGGGAAGGGGAAGAGGCAAGGCAGGCAAGGGGAGGAAGGGGGGGGGAAAAGGGGAAGAGGGGGGGGAGCGUGAAGGAGGAACGGCGGGGGGGGGAAGGCGGCCUUGGGGGGGGAAACCGCUUGGGCCGGGAAGGAAGGGGGGGUGAGGGGAAUGGGAAAAAAAAAACCGGUAAACAAGUG
rnacentral:rRNA from 1 species